AGAGGAAGAAUUCUACCUGAGUUUGCCAUAAAGUGCCUGCCCUCUAGCCUCUACUCUUCCAGUUGCGGCUUAUUGCAUCACAGUAAUUGCUGUACGAAGGUCAGAAUCGCUACCUAUUGUCCAAAGCAGUCGUAAGAAGAGGUCCCAAUCCCCCACUCUUUCCGCCCUAAUGGAGGUCUCCAGUUUCGGUAAAAGUUUCAUUUGAUCUGAAUAGUAUUAAAAUAAAAUACCUGGAUGAGGAAGAUGAAGAGUAGAGACGGGGUUUCACUGUGUUAGCCAGGAUGGUCUCGAUCCCCUGACAUCGUGAUCCGCUGUCCUCGGUCUCCCAAAGUGCUGGGAUUACAGGCGUGAGCCACCGCACCUGGUCGAUUAACCUCUUUUAAGCCUGUUUUCUCAUCCAUACAAUGGAGAUAAUGGCAGCACCCACUGCUUGGUGCUGGAAGCCCAGGAAGCACACAUCAAGGCUCCCUUGCCAGCAGGGUGCUGCCAAUAAAAGGUAGUCACGUGGAAUUUGGAAUGUGGAAAGGAGGUAGAAGUCAUCCUUUCCUCCCCUGUAGCAGCAGGCGUGCAGGCUCUGGUGGUCAGCUGGACUCCAUACUCCCCCACCAGUCACCAGCCUGGGGACCGUGGGGCUGCAAGGACCUCAGCAGCGGUGUCCCAAGUUUCCUGACUUCUUCCAUCCUCUGGAAAUCAGCUGUGGUAAAGUAGCCUGAAAGCCAGUGGUACAACCCCCUCCCCACAACCUUCACCACCUCUAGCCCCUCCAAUGAAAAGCACUAAUUGCCUAUAUACAACCCCUUUUUGUUUGAAAUAUCUAGAGUAAUUUCUGUUUUCCUAUCUGGGGUAGUGUAACGUAAGAAGAAAUAUACAUUUGGUCUCUGCCCCCGGUUCCUAACACAAAGCUCCUAAAACCCUUGGAAAUUCCUGAAAGAUGGGGGUGCUAGGAGCAUUGUCUUUUUUUUUUUUUAAAUUUAUCAUUUUUCUUUUCUCCCAGGUGUUUUUUCCUUUUUUUUUUUUUUAACUUUUAUUUUAGAUUAGGGGAUACAUGUGAACGUUUGUUAUAUAGCUAAACUUGUGUCACAUGGGUUUGUUGUACAGAUUAUUUCGUCACCCAGGCACUAGGCCUAAUACCCGAUAGUUUUUUUCUUUUUUUUUUUUGAGAUAGAGUCUCGCUCUGUUGCCCAGGCUAGAGGCACGAUCUCGGCUCACUGCAACUUCCGCCUCCCAGGUUUACGCCAUUCUUCUGCCUCAGCCUCCUGAGUAGCUGGGACUGCAGGUGCCUGCCACCACGUCCAGCUAAUUUUUUAUGUUUAGUAGAGAUGGGGUUUCACCAUCUUGGCCAGGCUGGUCUCGAACUCCUGACCUUGCGAUCCACCCACCUCGGCCUCCCAAAGUGCUGGGAUUACAGGCGUGAGCCACCGUGCCUGGCCAGUACCCAGUAGUUUUUUUGGCUCCUCUCCCUCCUCCCACCCUUCACCCUCAGGUAGGGCCCAGUGUCUGUUGUUCCCUUCUUUGUGUUUAUGAGUUCUCAUCAUUUAGCUCCCACUUAUAAGUGAGAACGUGUGGUGUUUGGUUUUCUGUUCCUUUCUUAGUUUGCUGAGGAUAAUGGCCUCAAGAUCCAUCUGUGUUCCUACAAAAGAGAUGAUCUUGUUCUUUUUUAUGAUUGCACAUCUUUUGUUCUAACGUUUGGUCCUUCACCUUGGUUCCUGACACAAGGAUUCCUAAAUCCCUUGGAAUUUUCUGCAUGAUAGGAGCGUCCUUUGUUCUCAUGAGGUGACUCUUGGUGGGCUCCUUAUUUGGGGACUGGUCACCAAAAAUACCUAACUAUGGUUGGAAGCUUAGUGCUUUCAGCCCCAUUCCCCAUCCUCUGGGGUGGGGAGCAGAGCUGGAGCUCGAUCAUGCCUGCGUGACAAAGCCUCCAGAAAAAUCCUUGAAAGACAGGACAUGGAGAGCUGCUGGGUUGGCGAACACAUCCAUGUGCCGGGAGGAUGGUGCACCCCAACUCCACAAGGACCCUUCCAGACCUCACCCUGUGUAUCUCUUCAUCUGGCUGUUCAUUUGUAUCCUUUAAAAUAUCCUUUGUAAUAAAUCAGCAAUAGU
rnacentral:lncRNA from 10 species